AACUUUCAACAAUGGAUCUCUUGGUUCUGGCAUCGAUGAAGAACGCAGCGAAAUGCGAUAAGUAGUGUGAAUUGCAGACUUUAGUGAAUCAUCGAAUUUUUGAACGCACAUUGCGCCCCUUGGUAUUCCAUUGGGCAUGCCUGUUCGAGCGUCAUUU
rnacentral:rRNA from 5 species